rnacentral:hammerhead_ribozyme from 1 species
AUCCAGCUGGCGAGUCCCAAAUAGGACGAAACAUGCGUCCUGGAU